GACGAACGCUGGCGGCGUGGAUUAGGCAUGCAAGUCGAACGGUAUCAUCCUUUCGGGGGUGAGAGAGUGGCGAACUGGUGAGUAACACGUAGGUUAUCUACCCUCAAGACGGGGACAACCCAGGGAAACUUGGGCUAAUACCGGAUGUGAGCAACUUUUAGUUGUUUGAAAGGUGGCGUAAGCUGUCGCUUGGGGAUGAGCCUGCGUCCUAUUAGUUAGUUGGUGAGGUAACGGCUCACCUAGGCAAUGAUAGGUAGGCGGCCUUAACGGGUGGUCGCCCACACUGGGAUUGAGAUACGGCCCAGACUCCUACGGGAGGCAGCAGUCGAGAAUAGUCUACAAUGGUCGGAAGACUGAUAGUGCGACGCCGCGUGAACGAUGAAUCCCCUUCGGGGGUGUUAAAAGUUCUUUUUAAUAUGUGAGCAGUGCUUCUUAUAUUAAACAGUAUGGGGAGAGAGAUAUUAGCAUAUGAAUAAGCAAACGGCUAAACUCCGUGCCAGCAGCCCGCGGUAAUAC
rnacentral:rRNA from 1 species